rnacentral:misc_RNA from 1 species
GAUGAAGAACGUAGCGAAAUGCGAUAAGUAAUGUGAAUUGCAGAAUUCAGUGAAUCAUCGAAUCUUUGAACGCACAUUGCCCCCGCCAGUAUUCUGGCGGGCAUGCCUGUUCGAGCGUCAUUUCAACCAUCAAGCCCUGCUUGCGUUGGGGUCCUGCGGCUGCCCGCAGGCCCUGAAAACCAGUGGCGGGCUCGCUAGUCACACCGAGCGCAGUAAUACAUCUCGCUUUGGGCGUGCGGCGGGUUCUUGCCGUUAAACACCCCCUUUUUACCAAGGUUGACCUCGGAUCAGGUAGGAAUACCCGCUGAACUUAAGCAUAUCAAUAAGCGGAGGA